rnacentral:lncRNA from 1 species
CUACCAGGGAGGUGUUAUUAUCAUCCUCUGGUAUCUACAGAUGAGGAAAACAGGCUUUGCAGGAUUUGAACCCAGCUGUCUGGCACCCACUCCAAUGCUUUUAGCCACCGUGGUUCAUGGCCCCACCCCAGAGCAGGAUCUCUGGUACACGGCCUGGAAGAGAGCCCUGAGGCCCACCAAUAGUGACUUCUCACGAGCUGCUCACCAGCGCUCCUUGGGGGCCCUCGAGCACCCCCAAGUCCCACUCGUGGAUUGGAAGCAGCAGAGAGCUGGAGGGUUAAGAGGACAUGAGAAUGGCAUGACAGAUCCUCAGCCACAAGGAUCAGCACAUGUGAGAAGGAUGAUCCCAGAAAAACGGGCCCUCCCCUCAGCCCACGCCUUGAUUCUGCUCCAGAACGCGGAGGAUGCAGAACUUCAAGAGGGCUGCGGCGAAGGUGUUGGCCAGCUCAGUGGACCCGGCACUUUGGCGUCAGAACUUCAGCAUGACUGCUGACGAGUGGCGGAAGUCCACGCCUGGAAACUGGACCUGGGCUGCCAAAUUGGAGCACGCCAAACUUAACCACUAGGCCACAGGGCCGGCCCCUACUCAGUCUUUUUAUCCCUUGGCUGAACACUGACAGCCCCUGGCUUAGCUUUGCUAUGAAACACUUUUAAAUUAUUUUUUAUUAGAAUAACAAAUUUAGAGUCUAUACCUAUAAUGGAUCACUGUUUAAAAACAAAAAUUCUAAAAAAAAAAAUUAAUGCUGAAAUACAAAUUAAUAGGGAAAAAAUUUUCGCAAGAAUAUUUCUGCAAAUUCCUCCUAUCUGAACACUCCUUACAUCUGAUCACAGUUCUCACACGUGAUUUGAUAAAUGCCGUUGGGACCAAGUGUCCCCCAAAAUCAGUCAGUUGGGUUCCUACCUUACGCCUACGCCAAAAUUAAUUCCAAUAGAUUAAAAAACUACACAUAAAAAGAGAAACCAUAAAUGAGUUAGAAAAAAAAUGGGAGAAUUUGUGCCAUAAGCUUAGAGUGGAGAGGGCUUUCUUACGUCUCACAGAAAACCUCCAAACCAGGAAGGAAAGGGUCUGUUUGUCCAAAUCAAAUUGAAAAUUCUUUCCUGGGUAAGGAAAACAGAAACUCAUGGACGAAGUCAAAUAACAAUUGACUAAUAGGAAAAGAAAAUAUUUGAAACAGAUCACAAAGAGCUCAUUUCCCUUAUCUUUAAAGAGCUCCGAUGAAUCAAUAAAGAUAAAAGACAAAUAAUUCAAUAGAAAAAUAGGCAAAGGAUGUAAACAGCUGGUCACGAAAACAAGGCAAAUCGGUCUUAAAUAUUUGAAAAAACAACCCUCCGCCUCACGUCUGAGGGAGAUAGAAGCUGGACUACGAUGAGACUAGACGGGCGAAGAUCACAAUGUCUGAUGACCCACGGUGCUGGCGAGGUUGCGGUGUCACAGGCCGUUUUCAUCACCGCUGAUGGGAAGGUAGGGUACCAUUUCUGUGAAGAGCACUUUAGCAAUAUCUUCCUAAAGGUAAAUGCUCAUCUACCCUUUGUUGUGGGUUAUGUCCCCUAAGAUUCCUAUGCUGACGUGUGAACCCCCAGGACCUUGGAAUGUGACCUUGAUUGGAGAUGUAGUCAGUUAAGAUGAAGUCACACUGGCAUAGGGUGGGCCCCGUAUCCACUAUGACUGUUAUCCUUAUCAAAAGGGGAAAUUGGGACGCAGACACACACAGGGGGAAGGCCACGUGUACACCAAGGCAGAGAUGGGCUGAUGCGUCUACCAGCCAAGGAACCCCCCAAAGGGGCCGGCGACCCACCCGAAGCGCGGGGAGAGGCCUGGAACAGAUUCUCCCUCACAGCGCUCAGAAGGAGCCCACGCGGCCCCGCAUCUUGAUCUCGGACUUCCAGCCUCAGAACUGCAUCCAUUUCUGUUGGAACUGAAAUAAUUCCCUGUGAAAUAAUACAUUUCUGUUGCUUCCCCACCCGCCGUGUGGUACUUGGUGAUGGCAGCCCGAGUGACUUAGCCGCUGCGACGCAGUGAGGUGGAUUUAUCGUACUGCGUCUGUGCACAGCUGCAAAGUGGGGCAGAGACCGGGGUCUACACGGCAGGAUUGUUUGUCAUUGCUAAAGACUGGAGCAACCCAAAUCUCCGUCAGUCAGCAGCUGCCGCAAUACGCGAUGGGACAUCCUGACGGGGGGAUAUUUUCAGCGAGGAGGCAGCGUAGCAUGUGCAGAUGGGAAUUAUCUCAAAGGUUGAUUAUGAAGUGAGAAAAGCAAAAUGCAGUGGUGAGAGAGAGGGCCUCAUCUGUAGGAAAAUACAGAGAAACAAAGCAGAAAAUAAAUGUGCAAAUAUUUGCUUGUAGCUGCAUACAUUCUAUUGGAAAGAUAGACGCGAAGCUGCUGAAUUCACUCGUUCCCGGCCUGCAGAAUCUCUUUGAGGCUCACAGAAAGAUUUCUGCUUCCACUAUAAACACACCUGUCCCUUUUGAACCUUUUACACUGUUUAUGUAUUACCUGUUCAGAAAAAAAAGUCUUAUGGGGAACAUCAAGAUGUUUCUCGUACUUCAAAACCCAACACUGAAAAGAGAAAAUACAGGCGUUUUGGCUUUUCAUCUUUUGGACAUAACAGCUCUUCAUACCUGAAAUAGGUUAUUUCAGAAGAUGAUACCUUCUCUCUUAUCUCUUCGUUUCGAAACAAAGCACAAAAUUUGUUUUUAAAAUACCUAAAUAAAUCAUAAAAAUGAAGCAUAAGAUGCAAGAAUUCUAACGCUCUCAUGGAUUGAAAGCAAGCAUAUCUGUUUUUUAAUCCCUAGCAUGUAAAUUUCAGUCGACAACGAUUGUUUCAGCAGAUACGCAGGCCCUGAACCAAGCCUGACAAAAUAUUUUUAAUUCAUUUGCCUAUAAAUCUUGCUUUUCCUCCUAAAAUUAAUCUAAAUUCUAUCGAAGAGUAGGCCUGACUUACUAAAUAGAAAAGGGUCAAAAGUCACCUUUAAAAAUAAGGCUUCUGGGGGCUGGCCCCGUGGCCGAGUGGUUAAGUUCGCGCGCUCUGCUGCAGGCAGCCCAGUGUUUCGUUGGUUCGAAUCCUGGGUGCGCACAUGGCACUGCUCAUCAAACCACGCUGAGGCAGCGUCCCACAUGCCACAACUAGAAGGAUCCACAACGAAGAAUAUAUAACUAUGUACCGGGGGGCUUUGGAGAGAAAAAGGAAAAAAUAAAAUCUUAAAAAAAAAAAAAAAAUGUGAAAAAAAAAUAAGGCUUCUGAUGAAAUACGAACUUUUUAAUACAAUCUUUAGGAUCAGACUGAUCUAAAAUAAAAUAAAUUUAUUCAAAAUACCUUGCAAAAAGGAUGAAAUGAUUUUUUUUUUAUUCAAAAAAGAGUUUG